rnacentral:sRNA from 1 species
GCAACUGGGAGCUCGAAGAAGAGGAAGAAGAAGGU